UGAUACUUUUCAAAAAAAUAGAACUGUGGUACACUGGACUUUGAAACCCGCCCGAACAUGAGGAAGGAGCGAUUUGCUGUGCAAAUCUGCGGAUUCCGAAUGUUUGACCAAAUUGCGGGAGCAACUUGCUGCGAAGCAAUUUGUUGACA
rnacentral:sRNA from 1 species